rnacentral:rRNA from 1 species
AGAGUUUGAUCAUGGCUCAGAACGAACGCUGGCGGCAUGCUUAACACAUGCAAGUCGAACGAGACCUUCGGGUCUAGUGGCGCACGGGUGCGUAACGCGUGGGAAUCUACCCUUUGCUACGGAAUAACUCAGAGAAAUUUGUGCUAAUACCGUAUGAUGUCGAAAGACCAAAGAUUUAUCGGCAAAGGACGAGCCCGCGUAGGAUUAGCUAGUUGGUGUGGUAAAGGCGCACCAAGGCGACGAUCCUUAGCUGGUCUGAGAGGAUGAUCAGCCACACUGGGACUGAGAUACGGCCCAGACUCCUACGGGAGGCAGCAGUGGGGAAUAUUGCACAAUGGGCGCAAGCCUGAUGCAGCGACGCCGCGUGAGGGAUGACGGCCUUCGGGUUGUAAACCUCUUUCAGUAGGGACGAAGCGAAAGUGACGGUACCUACAGAAGAAGGACCGGCCAACUACGUGCCAGCAGCCGCGGUAAUACGGAGGAUCCAAGCGUUAUCCGGAAUCAUUGGGUUUAAAGGGUCCGUAGGCGGUUUGGUAAGUCAGUGGUGAAAGCCCGCAGCUCAACUGUGGAACGGCCAUUGAUACUGCCAGACUUGAAUUACAAGGAAGUAACUAGAAUAUGUAGUGUAGCGGUGAAAUGCUUAGAUAUUACAUGGAAUACCAAUUGCGAAGGCAGGUUACUACUUGUGGAUUGACGCUGAUGGACGAAGGCGUGGGGAGCGAACAGGAUUAGAUACCCUGGUAGUCCAA